rnacentral:rRNA from 1 species
CCUACGGGAGGCAGCAGUAAGGAAUAUUGGACAAUGGACGCAAGUCUGAUCCAGCCAUGCCGCGUGAAGGAUUAAGGCCCUCUGGGUUGUAAACUUCUUUUAUAGGGGACGAAAAAGGGGCUUUCUAGCUCGACUGACGGUACCCUAUGAAUAAGCACCGGCUAACUCCGUGCCAGCAGCCGCGGUAAUACGGAGGGUGCAAGCGUUAUCCGGAUUCACUGGGUUUAAAGGGUGCGUAGGCGGGCAGUUAAGUCAGUGGUGAAAUCUCUGGGCUCAACCCGGAAACUGCCAUUGAUACUAUCUGUCUUGAAUAUUGUGGAGGUGAGCGGAAUAUGUCAUGUAGCGGUGAAAUGCUUAGAUAUGACAUAGAACACCGAUUGCGUAGGCAGCUCGCUACACAUAUAUUGACGCUGAGGCACGAAAGCGUGGGGAUCAAACAGGAUUAGAUACCCUGGUAGUCCACGCCCUAAACUAUGAUUACUCGACAUAUGCGAUACACUGUAUGUGUCUGAGCGAAAGCAUUAAGUAAUCCACCCUGGGAAGUACGACCGCAAGGUUGAAACUUAAAUGAAUUGACGG